rnacentral:rRNA from 1 species
CACGUAGGCGGACCAGAAAGUUGGGGGUGAAAUCCCGGGGCUCAACCCCGGAACUGCCUCCAAAACUCCUGGUCUGGAGUUCGAGAGAGGUGAGUGGAAUUCCGAGUGUAGAGGUGAAAUUCGUAGAUAUUCGGAGGAACACCAGUGGCGAAGGCGGCUCACUGGCUCGAUACUGACGCUGAGGUGCGAAAGCGUGGGGAGCAAACA